GACGAACGCUGGCGGCGUGCUUAACACAUGCAAGUCGAACGGAAAGGCCCUGCUUGCAGGGUGCUCGAGUGGCGAACGGGUGAGUAAGACGUGGGUGAUCUGCCCCUUACUUUGGGAUAAGCCUGGGAAACUGGGUCUAAUACUGGAUAGGACCAUGCUGUAGGUGGUGUGGUGGAAAGAUUAGUUUCGGUAAGGGAUGAGCUCGCGGCCUAUCAGCUUGUUGGUGGGGUAAUGGCCUACCAAGGCGUCGACGGGUAGCCGGCCUGAGAGGGUGGACGGCCACAUUGGGACUGAGAUACGGCCCAGACUCCUACGGGAGGCAGCAGUGGGGAAUAUUGCACAAUGGGCGCAAGCCUGAUGCAGCGACGCCGCGUGGGGGAUGACGGCCUUCGGGUUGUAAACUCCUUUCAGCCAUGACGAAGCCCUUGUGGUGACGGUAGUGGUAGAAGAAGCACCGGCUAACUACGUG
rnacentral:rRNA from 1 species